rnacentral:rRNA from 1 species
UAGAGUUUGAUCAUGGCUCAGAUUGAACGCUGGCGGAAUGCUUUACACAUGCAAGUCGAACGGCAGCACGGGUGCUUGCACCUGGUGGCGAGUGGCGAACGGGUGAGUAACAUAUCGGAACGUACCCAGUAAUGGGGGAUAACUAGUCGAAAGAUUAGCUAAUACCGCAUACGCCCUGAGGGGGAAAGCGGGGGACCGUAAGGCCUCGCGUUAUUGGAGCGGCCGAUAUCUGAUUAGCUAGUUGGUGGGGUAAAGGCCUACCAAGGCGACGAUCAGUAGCUGGUCUGAGAGGAUGAUCAGCCACACUGGAACUGAGACACGGUCCAGACUCCUACGGGAGGCAGCAGUGGGGAAUUUUGGACAAUGGGCGCAAGCCUGAUCCAGCCAUUCCGCGUGAGUGAAGAAGGCCUUCGGGUUGUAAAGCUCUUUCGCAAGGGAAGAAAACUUACCUUUUAAUAGAGGGUGAGGUUGACGGUACCUUGAUAAGAAGCACCGGCUAACUACGUGCCAGCAGCCGCGGUAAUACGUAGGGUGCGAGCGUUAAUCGGAAUUACUGGGCGUAAAGCGUGCGCAGGCGGUUUUGUAAGUCAGAUGUGAAAGCCCCGGGCUCAACCUGGGAACUGCGUUUGAAACUACAAGGCUAGAGUAUGGGAGAGGGGGGUAGAUUCCACGUGUAGCAGUGAAAUGCGUAAGAUGUGGAGGAAUACCAUGCCGAAGGCAGCCCCCUGGCCUAAUACUGACGCUCUGCCCGAAAGCUGGGGACCAACCGGAUUA